rnacentral:rRNA from 1 species
UACAGAGGUGGCAAGCGUUGUUCGGAAUUACUGGGCGUAAAGCGCACGUAGGCGGGUCGUUAAGUCAGGGGUGAAAUCCCAGAGCUCAACUCUGGAACUGCCUUUGAUACUGGCGACCUAGAGUUCGGAAGAGGUUAGUGGAAUUCCCAGUGUAGAGGUGAAAUUCGUAGAUAUUGGGAAGAACACCAGUGGCGAAGGCGGCUAACUGGUCCGAUACUGACGCUGAGGUGCGAAAGCGUGGGGAGCAAACAGG